AGUUGAUCCUGCGGGAGAUUGCUGCUAGUAGGAUUCGAAUUAGCCAUGCAAGUGAAUGGGAUUUAGUUCCAUCGCGAAUCGCUCAGUAACACGUCGAUAAUCUACCCUAGUGCCCAGAAUAAUCUCGGAAAACUGAGAAUAAUACUGGAUAAGUAAUAGCUUCUGGAAUGAAUUAUUACACAAAGUUUUAACGUACUAGGAUGAGUUGGCGGCUGAUUAGGUUGUUGGUGGGGUAACGGCCCACCAAGCCGAAGAUCAGUACGGGCCAUGAGAGUGGUAGCCCGGAGAGGGUCACUGAGAAAUUGGACCCAGCCCUACGGGGUGCAGCAGGCGCGAAACCUCUUCAAUGCACGACAGUGUGAAAGGGGAAUCCUACGUGCUUAUGCUCAGCAUAGGCUUUUGUAAAGUGUAAAUAACUUUACGAAUAAGGGGUGGGAAAGACUGGUGCCAGCAGCCGCGGUAACACCAGCGCCCCGAGUGGCAAUCGUUUUUAUUGGGCCUAAAGCGUUCGUAGCCUGAUUGGCAAAUCUUUUGUGAAAUCGCUCAGCUUAACUGAGUGGCGUGCAGAAGACACUACCUUUCUAGGGACCGGGAGGAGUCAGAAGUAUUCUGUGGGGAGCGGUAAAAUGUUAUAAUCCUCGGAAGACUACCUGUGGCGAAGGCGUCUGACUAGAACGGAUCCGACGGUGAGGAACGAAGGCUAGGGGAGCAAACCGGAUUAGAUACCCGAGUAGUCCUAGCAGUAAACUCUGUAUGCAAGGUGUUGCGCAUCUUUGUAGUUGCGCAGUAUCGAAGAGAAGUCGUUAAGCAUAUCGCCUGGGAAGUACGGUCGCAAGACUGAAACUUAAAGGAAUUGGCGGGGGAGCACCACAAGGGGUGCGGCGUGCGGUUUAAUCUAACUUAACGCAGAAAAUCUCACCAGGGGCGACAGCAAGAUGAAAUUCAGUCUAAAGGGCUUAAUGGAUGAGCUGAGAGGUAGUGCAUGGCCAUCGUCAGCUCGUGCCGUAAGGUGUCCUGUUAAGUCAGGCAACGAGCGAGACCUGUGUCCUCACUUGCUAGCGGCGUCUUCGGACGGACCGAGAACAUUGAGGGGACUGCCGGUGAAAACCGGAGGAAGGUGCAGGCUACGGUAGGUCUGUAUGCUCCGAAUCUCCUGGGCUACACGCGCGCAACAAUGAUAUGGACAAUGGGAUACUACCCCGAAAGGGGACGUUAAUCCUCGAAACCAUAUCCAAGUUCAAAUUGUGGGUUGUAACUCACCCACAUGACGCUGGAAUCCCUAGUAAUCAGAGUUCAUCAUACUCUGGUGAAUAUGUCCCUGCUCCUUGCACACACCGCCCGUCAAAUCACUCGAGCAGUGCUUCAGUGAGUCUUUGCCCUUUUAGUAAGCCGAACUGAAGUUCAGUGAGAUGGAUUAAGUCGUCACAAGGUA
rnacentral:rRNA from 1 species